UACGUAGGGUGCAAGCGUUAAUCGGAAUUACUGGGCGUAAAGCGUGCGCAGGCGGUUCGGCAAGAAAGGUGUGAAAUCCCAGGGCUUAACCUUGGAAUGGCACUUUUAACUGCCGGGCUAGAGUAUGUCAGAGGGGGGUAGAAUUCCACGUGUAGCAGUGAAAUGCGUAGAGAUCCGGAGGAACACCGAAGGCGAAGGCAGUGUCCUGGCUGGUGACUGACGCUGAGGUGCGAAAGCUAGGGGAGCGAACGGG
rnacentral:rRNA from 1 species